CUGUCUAUAGCAACACAUAGGCUAAAACUGAAAUGAUACACAGAAUUGGCACGACCCCUGUGCAAAGAUGACAGGCACACCUGUGAAGUGAUCGAAUGUAAG